ensembl:misc_RNA Metazoa_SRP Metazoan signal recognition particle RNA
GCCGGGUGCGGUGGCUCACACCUGUAAUCCCAGUACUUUGGGAGGCUGAGGUGGGUGGAUCACCUGAGGUCAGGAGUUCGGGACCAGCCUGGCUAACAUGGUGAAAACCCAUUUCUA